UACGGAGGGUGCAAGCGUUAUCCGGAUUCACUGGGUUAAAGGGUGCGUAGGCGGACAGGUAAGUCAGUGGUGAAAUCUCUGGGCUUAACCCAGAAACUGCCGUUGAUACUAUCUGUCUUGAAUAUCGUGGAGGUGAGCGGAAUAUGUCAUGUAGCGGUGAAUGCUUAGAUAUGACAUAGAACACCGAUUGCGAAGGCAGCUCGCUACACGGUUAUUGACGCUGAGGCACGAAAGCGUGGGGAUCAAACAGG
rnacentral:rRNA from 1 species